UACGGGAGGCAGCAGUGGGGAAUAUUGCACAAUGGGCGAAAGCCUGAUGCAGCCAUGCCGCGUGUAUGAAGAAGGCCUUCGGGUUGUAAAGUACUUUCAGUAGUGAGGAAGGGUGUGUAGUUAAUAGCUGCACAUCUUGACGUUAGCAACAGAAGAAGCACCGGCUAACUCCGUGCCAGCAGCCGCGGUAAUACGGAGGGUGCGAGCGUUAAUCGGAAUUACUGGGCGUAAAGCGCAUGCAGGUGGUUCAUUAAGUCAGAUGUGAAAUCCCGGGGCUCAACCUGGGAACUGCAUUUGAAACUGGUGAACUAGAGUACGUGUAGAGGGGGGUAGAAUUUCAGGUGUAGCGGUGAAAUGCGUAUAUAUCUGAAGGAAUACCAGUGGCGAAGGCGGCCCCCUGGACAGAUACUGACACUCAGA
rnacentral:rRNA from 1 species